CAAAUUUCUCUUCCUCUCUUCUUCUUCCUUGGCCGCCCGCACCAACCCCUCCAUCUUUCUCUCCUCGGCUCUCUCUUUAGGUGUCCUUGCCGCCGUUCGCUGCCACUUAAGGCCGCCGAUCUAGAAAGUUUCUUGUAGGCAUGGAAGUCUCACGUCAAUUUUGGGAGUUGCAAUCUUUCUAGAGGAGCUAAGGUCAUGAAUUACACAUUGCUUGGCAUGCCCUUGGGAACACUCAUACUUUGGACUAAAGUGGAAGAUAAAACCGGUUGUAUGUUUAAUUCGUAUGGUCAUACGAGGGAUUCCAUCUCCGAAGAUUUCGGAGGAUGAUGCCGCCAUUGAGAGACAUUGGAGGGGUGAUGCUCGAAGGAUUUUGGAAGAUGUUUGCGGGUAUGAUUAUGGAAUGAUGCCUAAAAGGAUGCGCGAUGGGGGUUCGGAUGCCAUGCUCGAUUGGGCGAGACACUACCCCAAAUAUUUCUAGAAGAGCUGUAGGGUUACAACAAUGUGUGAUUAAUAAUUCGACUAGAAAUAGCAUAAUAUUAUAGGGUAUUAUGUGAUUCUCAAGGCACUAAAUAUGUGUGAAGUAUUUAAGUGUUAUUGCAUACUUUGAAAGUUGUUUUAUGGCUCUUGCAUGUUUGAUACAACCUUAUAUGAAAUGUGUGAGAUAUGUAUAUAAUUUAAUUGUCAUUUAUAGUAA